GGUCACCUGGCCCUGGCUCCCUCCUUGCCACAAGAAACCACUCCGAACACCUUCCGGCAUAAGAACAGGAAAAAUGCAUGUCCAGAUCAAUCUUCCAGCUUGUAUUUUCUGUACCUGUGGGCUGUAGGGAAAGGGUAAAGUGAGUGAGAGGCUGCGUGGGGCUCAGUUGCCGUCCUGGGUUUUACCACUGAAAGCAUUUUCCAGCCCUACCGGAAUUAGGCAUUUCUAGAGGCUCUUUUCGCCGUCAUAUCAAGAACUGGAACAGAAGAAGCAUCCUAAAUAAAAUGGAUGAAGGGAUUUUUGGAGUAAGAGGCCAAAAUCUAAAUAGGCUCACUGUGUUCCCAGCCAAACUUUAAAUCAGAAUAUCUCUGAUACGCCCGUGCAAAAAUAGAUUCACAACUUCUGUCGAAGCUGUGCCUCUCUUUGGUGUUGCACAUAUAAUUAGGCAUGACUGUCAGAUUUUCAGGAUACUGGAUGGUUUUAUUCAGGAGGCCAUGGGUAGUGCAAUUAAAGUGAAAUGGUAAGUGAUGGGCACAGGAAAAGGGGGGCAGCAUUAACUGAAUCGCAGGAGAAUAAAGCCAUAGGAAUGGGGAACACCUAAUGCCACUUCCUGUAAAAUUUCCUGUUUUCAGUUGCAUCGUUUUUCUUAUUGUAGGCUAAACCUAUGUUCUCACAAAUGUUGCUGUACUUGUGUCAGGUACAGGUUUUUCACUCGAUGCAUGUAUUCACACAAUUACAUCUAUCAUGGAUUGUGCCAUCAGUUGGCAAGAAUUGUUUUCUCUUUCGUAUAUAGCAUUUGUUCUUAAAAUGUAGGUAGGAGAACCCAGUAUAGAGACUCACUGUGAAAGAUUGUUCCCUUUAGAAGAAUUCCUGCCCUGGAAAUGGAUUCAUUCUAAUGACUUCUAACCAUCCAAUUUAAAAAUCAUGCAAGAAUGGUAAUGUUUUUCAUCUUCUAUUGUUGAAUCUUCGAGGUGUUCAGUGAUUUCCUGUUCUUAAAAGUUUCAUUUUCUGCCUUGUCAUGAUGGAAGGUAUGCAAACUACUGUUAAGUGACAGCUGUAUUCUCUGUACUAUUUUGAAGUCGGCCCAUGCAGAGAUCAUUUGCAAUGUGGAAAUUUGGACCUAAUUAUCCAUUCAUUACAUACCAAAAAGUAUUUGUUGAAUGAAUUUUUCAUCAGGUCGUGGUGAAAC